rnacentral:rRNA from 1 species
ACGGAGGGUGCAAGCGUUAUCCGGAAUCACUGGGUUUAAAGGGUGCGUAGGCGGCGCUAUAAGUCAGAGGUGAAAUCUUGCAGCUCAACUGUAAAAUUGCCUUUGAAACUGUAGUGCUUGAAUCACGUUGAGGUCAGCGGAAUGAGACAUGUAGCGGUGAAAUGCUUAGAUAUGUCUUAGAACACCAAUUGCGUAGGCAGCUGGCUAGGCGUGUAUUGACGCUGAGGCACGAAAGCGUGGGUAGCGAACAGG